rnacentral:rRNA from 1 species
AGGGAGCUUGACUGUGAGAGCGACAGCUCAAGCAGGGACGAAAGUCGGGACUAGUGAUCCGGCGGCACAUUGUGGAAUGGCCGUCGCUCAACGGAUAAAAGGUACCUCGGGGAUAACAGGCUGAUCUUGCCCAAGAGUCCAUAUCGACGGCAUGGUUUGGCACCUCGAUGUCGGCUCGUCGCAUCCUGGGGCUGGAGUAGGUCCCAAGGGUUGGGCUGUUCGCCCAUUAAAGCGGUACGCGAGCUGGGUUUAGAACGUCGUGAGACAGUUCGGUCCCUAUCCGCUGCGCGCGCAGGAAAUUUGAGAAGGUCUGUCCUUAGUACGAGAGGACCGGGACGGACGAACCUCUGGUGUGUCAGUUGUACUGCCAAGUGCACCGCUGAUUAGCUACGUUCGGAGAGGAUAACCGCUGAAAGCAUCUAAGCGGGAAGCCAGCUUCAAGAUGAGAUUUCCAUAGGUGUUAAGCCUGGGAGGCCCCCAGCCAGACCACUGGGUUGAUAGGCCGGACGUGGAAGCAAGGACUAAAGACUUGUGAAGCUGACCGGUACUAAUAGGCCGAUAACUUACACCA